rnacentral:rRNA from 1 species
AGUACGAUCGCAAGAUUAAAACUCAAAGGAAUUGACGGGGCCCCGCACAAGCAGCGGAGCAUGCGGCUUAAUUCGACGCAACGCGAAGAACCUUACCAAGGCUUGACAUAUACAGGAAUAUGGCAGAGAUGUCAUAGCCGCAAGGUCUGUAUACAGGUGGUGCAUGGUUGUCGUCAGCUCGUGUCGUGAGAUGUUGGGUUAAGUCCCGCAACGAGCGCAACCCUCGUUCUGUGUUGCCAGCAUUUAGUUGGGGACUCACAGGAGACUGCCGGGGUUAACUCGGAGGAAGGUGGGGAUGACGUCAAAUCAUCAUGCCCCUUAUGUCUUGGGCUGCACGCAUGCUACAAUGGCUGGUACAAACGGCUGCAAUACCGCAAGGUGGAGCGAAUCCGAGAAAGCCAGUCUCAGUUCGGAUUGGGGUCUGCAACUCGACCCCAUGAAGUCGGAGUUGCUAGUAAUCGUAGAUCAGCAACGCUACGGUGAAUACGUUCCCGGGGCUUGUACACACCGCCCGUCACGUCACGAAAGUCGGUAACACCCGAAGUCAGUGGCCCAACCGUAAGGAGGGAGCUGCCGAAGGUGGGAUCGGUGAUUGGGACG